rnacentral:rRNA from 13 species
AUAAAAGGUGACUCGUAAGGGUUGCUGGAGGUAUCGGAAGUGCGAAUGCUGACAUGAGUAACGAGACGAGUGUGAGAAACACUCGCGCCGAAAGUCCAAGGGUUCCUGCUUAAAGCUAAUCUGAGCAGGGUAAGCCGGCCCCUAAGCCGAGGCCGAAAGGCGUAGGCGAUGGGAACCACGUUAAUAUUCGUGGGCCAGAUGGAAGUGACGGAUCUCGAAGAUUGUUCCUCCUUAUCGGAUUGGAGGGGCCGUUCAGAGGUUCCUGGAAAUAGCUCCAUCAUCAGACCGUACCCUAAACCGACACAGGUGGACUGGUAGAGCAUACCAAGGCGCUUGAGAGAACUAUGUUGAAGGAACUCGGCAAAAUACCUCCGUAAGUUCGCGAGAAGGAGGCCCGGUUCCUAGGCAACUAGGGGCUGGGGGCACAAACCAGGGGGUGGCGACUGUUUAUUAAAAACACAGGUCCGUGC